GUUAGAGGUCCGAAGGCGAUCAGAUACCGCCCUAGUUCUAACCAUAAACGAUGCCAGCCAGCGAUCCGGCUGUGUUCCUCAAAUGACACGCCGGGCAGCUUCCGGGAAACCAAAGCUUUUGGGUUCCGGGGGAAGUAUGGUUGCAAAGCUUAAACUUAAAGGAAUUGACGGAAGGGCACCACAAGCCAUGGAGCAUGCGGUUCAAUUUGACUCAACACGGGGAACCUUACCCAGCCCGGACACAGGAAGGAUUGACAGAUUAAGAGCUCUUUCUUGAUUCUGUGAGUGGUGGUGCAUGGCCGUUCUUAGUUGGUGGAGCGAUUUGUCUGCUUUAUUGCGAUAACGAACGAGACUCUAGCCUACUAAAUAGACGUUCCGAUCUUCUUGAGUCGGACGGUCUUCUUAGGGGGACAGGCGGCGACUAGCCGCACGAGACAGAGCAAUAACAGGUCUGUGAUGCCCUCAGAUGUCCGGGGCCACACGCGCGCUACAUUGAAGGAAUCAGCGUGUGCUUUCCCGGUCCGACAGGACUGGGUAACCCGUUGAACCUCCUUCGUGCUGGGGAUAGGGGCUUGCAAUUAUUCCCCUUGAACGAGGAAUGCCUAGUAAGCGCGAGUCAUCAGCUCGUGUUGAUUAGGUCCCUGCCCUUUGUACACACCGCCCGUCGCUACAAGCGAUUGAAUGGUUUAGUGAGGUCUUCGGACUGGCGCUCGGAUCGGCCCUCCGGACCAGCCGACGUGCCGGAAAGAUGACCAAACUUGAUCAUUUAGAGCAUGUAAAAGUCGUAACAAG
rnacentral:rRNA from 1 species